rnacentral:rRNA from 1 species
UGAGUACGAGACGCUACGGCGUUGAAGCAGUGUAUGUCAGACUUCCAAGAAAAGCUCGCAAUGUCAUAAACAAAUAAUGCCUGUACCAUAACCGACACAGGUGGGUAGGUAGAGUAUACUAAGGGGCGCGAGAUAACUCUCUCUAAGGAACUCGGCAAAAUGACUCCGUAACUUCGGGAGAAGGAGUGCCUUAUUUUUAUAAGGUUGCAAUAACAAGAUCCAAGCAACUGUUUACCAAAAACACAGGUCUCCGCUAAGUCGUAAGACGAUGUAUGGGGGCUGACGCCUGCCCAGUGCCAGAAGGUUAAAGAAGUUGGUUAGCAAUAGCGAAGCUGAUAACUGAAGCCCUGGUGAACGGCGGCCGUAACAAUAACGGUCCUAAGGUAGCGAAAUUCCUUGUCGGGUAAGUUCCGACCCGCACGAAAGGCGUAAUGAUUUGGAUGCUGUCUCGGAGAGGGGCUCGGUGAAAUAGACUUGUCUGUGAAGAUGCGGACUACCUGCACCAGGACAGAAAGACCCUAUGAAGCUUUACUGUAACUUGAAAUUGAAAUUGGACUUUACUUGCGCAGUAUAGGUGGGAGGCGUUGAUUUUAUUCUUGCGGGAAUUUAGGAGCCAUCAGUGAGAUACCACUCUGGUAAUGUUAGAUUUCUAACUUUGUAUCAUAAUCUGGUCAAAGAACAGUUUCAGGCGGGCAGUUUGACUGGGGCGGUCGCCUCCCAAACGGUAACGGAGGCGUACAAAGGUUUCCUCUGAACGUGUAGAAAUCGUAUCUAGAGUGUAAAGGCAUAAGGAAGCUUGACUGUGAGACCUACAAGUCGAGCAGGGACGAAAGUCGGUCUUAGUGAUCUGACGGUGCUGAGUGGAAAGGCCGUCACUCAACGGAUAAAAGUUACUCUAAGGAUAACAGGCUGAUCUCCCCCAAGAGUUCACAUCGACGGGGAGGUUUGGCACCUCGAUGUCGGCUCAUCGCAUCCUGGGGCGGUAGUACGUCCCAAGGGUUGGGCUGUUCGCCCAUGAAAGCGGUACGCGAGCUGGGUUCAGAACGUCGUGAGACAGUUCGGUCCAUAUCCGGUGUAGGCGUUAGAAUAUUGAGAGGAUCCUUCUUUAGUACGAGAGGACCGAGAAGGACAUACCUCUGGUGUACCAGUUAUCGUGCCAACGGUAAACGCUGGGUAGCUAUGUAUGGAAAGGAUAACCGCUGAAAGCAUCUAAGUGGGAAGCCUACCUCAAGAUAAGUAUUCUC